AGACUCGGAAAGGAGAAAUGCUAAAAAGACAAGCACACUCCUCAUCUGUGGCACCAGAGAUGAUGAGCCACAAGUGAAAAUGCACACUUGACAUUGGGAAAGCAAUCAUUUUCUACGUAUUAAAGGGGGAGCAUGUUACAGCAAGAAAAGGACAGGACUCAUGAUUGAACCCUGGGGGACACCAAAAGGAACAGGGCAAGAGAGGAUAAGGCCCGGCCUUCUGAAUACUGAACAAGAUCUUGGUGGAGACCUCUGAACCCGACGGGGCCAUCGCUCAGACUGCUUCGGCAGCGGGAAGUUCAAAGGUCACGAGCUGACCUGGGAGGAAGCCAGCGAGACAGAAACACAGACCGGGCGGGGGCACACCGAGG